rnacentral:SRP_RNA from 1 species
GCUGGCUGUGGUGGUGCCUCCUGUAGCCACAGCUACUGAGGAGGCUGAGGAUACUUCAAGCCUGACUUCUGGGCUGUAGUUUGCUAUGCUGAUGGAGUGUCCUUGCUAAGUUUGGUAUCAACGUGGUGACCUCUUGGGAGCAGGGGACCACCAGGUUGCCUAAGGAGGGGUGAACAGCUCAGGUUGGAAAGGGAGCAGGUCAAAAUUUUCAGGCUGAUGAGUGAUGGGAUUGUGCCUGGGAAUAGUGCCAGCAACAGACUGAGCAACAUAGUGAGACUACUCUCUA